GACAUAGCACACAUUCAUCUAUGCCCGGACGAUCACCUCGUGUCGGUGCCCACUAGAAUCGAAGAAGUGCAAGCCGAAGGGGGCAUUCCCUGGUGACCGUGAUGAAGAGCAGGACAUGCUGCCUACUGAAAUCGAACAUCUGCAAGUUCCUGCCACUGUAGUCCGAGUGGGAGGGGGAGUUACCAUAACGAGAUGAUAAUCGGCACGGCUGCGACAUUCGACACCUGCUACCAGGACUCCAUACACGAGGGCAAGCUCGAAGCGAAAAUAGAAUUAACUGUGGAUGAAUUGUCGAAUGUAGCUUGACGAUGUGGUUGAACAUGCUUUUGCAAUUUUUUUGACUUGAUUUAGGUGGUGAAGGAUAUAUAUUAAUUGCCUAGAUAUUUGUAGCCUUUUAAUUCAUUUCUGUAAUUUACAUAUCACCCAAGCUAAUUGGCAAGCGUGGUGACACUUUGACGCAUUCCUCACAUUUUGCAACUCCCGUGGUGAAUGUUGUGUCACUAUUUACCUUUGCUGACAUUGUUGUAGUGUUACAAACUGCAUAA